rnacentral:rRNA from 1 species
GGUGAGUAACGCGUUGGUGACCUGCCCCGAAGAGGGGGAUAACAGUCCGAAAGGACUGCUAAUACCCCAUGUGAUCCCCGGUUUUAGAAUCUGGUGAUUAAAGGCGAAAGUCGCUUCGGGAGGGGCCUGCGUCCCAUCAGCUAGUUGGUAGGGUAAUGGCCUACCAAGGCUAUGACGGGUAGGGGACCUGAGAGGGUGGCCCCCCACAAUGGAACUGAAACACGGUCCAUACACCUACGGGUGGCAGCAGUAGGGAAUAUUGGUAAUCUGGGAAACCGGGAACCAGCAACGCCGCGUGCGCGAUGAAGGCCUUCGGGUUGUAAAGCGCUUUUUAAAGGGAUGAGGAAGGACAGUACCUUUAGAAUAAGCCUCGGCUAACUACGUGCCAGCAGCCGCGGUAAAACGUAGGAGGCGAGCGUUAUCCGGAUUUACUGGGCGUAAAGCGUGUGCAGGCGGUUUGAUAAGUUGGAUGUGAAAGCUCCUGGCUUAACCGGGAGAGGUCGUUCAAAACUAUCAGACUAGAGAGUGGUAGAGGGAGAUGGAAUUCCGCGUGUAGUGGUGAAAUGCGUAGAUAUGCGGAGGAACACCAGUGGCGAAAGCGGUCUCCUGGCCCAUUUCUGACGCUCAGACACGAAAGCUAAGGUAGCAAACGGGAUUAGAGACCCCGGUAGUCUUAGCUGUAAACGAUGUGAACUUAGUGUCGGUGGGGUUAAAUCCAUCGGUACUGAAGCUAACGCGAUAAGUUCACCGCCUGGGGACUACGGCCGCAAGGUUAAAACUCAAAGGAAUUGACGGGGCCCCGCACAAGCAGCGGAGCGUGUGGUUUAAUUCGAUGAUACACGAAGAACCUUACCAGGGUUUGACAUACAGGUGGUAGAGAAGCGAAAGUGGAACGACCCUUCGGGGAGCCUGAACAGGUGCUGCAUGGCUGUCGUCAGCUCGUGUCGUGAGAUGUUCGGUUAAGUCCG